CUACGGGGCGCACCAGUGGGGAAUAUUGGACAAUGGGGGAAACCCUGAUCCAGCAAUGCCGCGUGUGUGAAGAAGGCCUGCGGGUUGUAAAGCACUUUCGGUUGGGAGGACUGCUUCUAGCACUAAUAUUGUUGGAAGUUGACGUUACCUUCAGAAGAAGCACCGGCUAACUCCGUGCCAGCAGCCGCGGUAAUACGGAGGUGCAAGCGUUAAUCGGAAUUACGGGGCGUAAGGCGCGCGUAGGCGGCUAGAUCAGUCGGGUGUGAAAGCCCCGGGCUUAACCUGGGAACUGCAUCCGAUACUGUCUAGCUUGAGUACAGGAGAGGAGAGUGGAAUUCCACAUGUAGCGGUGAAAUGCGUAGAUAUGUGGAGGAACACCAAUGGCGAAGGCAGCUCUCUGGCCUGAUACUGACGCUGAGGUGCGAAAGCGUGGGGAGCAAACAGGAUUAGAUACCCGGGUAGUC
rnacentral:rRNA from 1 species